UACCUGGUUGAUCCUGCCAGUAGUCAUAUGCUUGUCUCAAAGAUUAAGCCAUGCAAGUCUAAGUACGAGCUCUCGUACAGUGAAACUGCGAAUGGCUCAUUAAAUCAGUUAUGGUUCAUUUGAUCGUACAGUUUACUUGGAUAACUGUGGUAAUUCUAGAGCUAAUACAUGCGAGAAGCGCCGACCUCGCGGGAGGCGUGCAUUUAUCAGACCAAAAACCGGCCGCGUCUUCGGGCGCGUUCGCCUUGGUGACUCUGGAUAACUUUGCGGAUCGCACGGUCUAGCACCGGCGACGGAUCAUUCAAGUGUCUGCCCUAUCAACUUUCGUCGGUACGGUAUUUGCCUACCGAGGUUCUUACGGGUGACGGGGAAUCAGGGUUCGAUUCCGGAGAGGGAGCCUGAGAAACGGCUACCACAUCCAAGGAAGGCAGCAGGCGCGCAAAUUACCCAUUCCCGACGCGGGGAGGUAGUGACGAAAAAUAACAAUGCAGGACUCGUUCGAGGCCCUGUAAUUGGAAUGAGUACACUUUAAAAGCUUUAACGAGUAUCCAUUGGAGGGCAAGUCUGGUGCCAGCAGCCGCGGUAAUUCCAGCUCCAAAAGUAUAUAUUUAAGUUGUUGCGGUUAAAAAGCUCGUAGUUGGAUUUUGGGCGCAGGCGGACGGUCCGUCGCAAGGCGUGUACUGGACGUCC
rnacentral:ncRNA from 1 species